UAUCCCUUUUCCUGAGUCUCUUUGAGGCUGGAGAUUUCAUCAUUCAUUCAUUUAACUAGCAUUUAUUAAGAACCGAUAGCAUGCAUACUAUUAGGAGAGUAAUGUGUUCAUCAUGGGAUCAUAGAUUUUAGAAAGGACACCAGAGACCAUGAACCUAUUUUAUAGAUAGAGAAACUGAGGAAUAGAGAAAUUAAGCAAUCUGCCCAGGAUCACAGUCAGAUGUGAGUGAGGAUUUGAAAUCAGAUCUGCUUGAUUCCAAGUCUGGCACACUAAAUAUCAUUUAACUAUCUCUGUUGAUCUUCCUUUUCCUAUCCUUUGGAUUUUCUGAAUAUUUAAUUUUGAGACUUUUAUGAGACCUGAUUUAUUGAAACUGACUCAUUCUCUAAGCCUCUAGGGGCAAGCAUUGAACAGGUGAUUAGAGAUUCGACUCUCAUUGUUAACACCCUAGUUCUUCACAGAUGCCAGCACCACCAGUGGCUUGCCCCUCCCAGGGCCCUUGUGACAGAGAUUUACAUGAAGGUCAUUUUUCAAUUAGGUAACAUACAGAAGGCAUCUGUCUUGGGCAUUUGCUCUUUUUUUCCCCAGGAUCAGAGGGGGCUCCCCAAACAAGCCCCUCCAGAAAAUCAAAUAUUCUUGCUACUCCUGUUGGUGCCCAUCCUAAGAAAAUUCCCUUUUCUGGCAACAGAAGAUAGUUAAACUCAAGCCAAACCCACGGUGAUGGGCUGAAGUUGUCAGCUGCCAGUUAGGAGGCAGCUGGGCCAUAAUAAUUCAAGAAUGCUGGAUUCAGAGUCAUGUGACCCUAGGAUCGUAUCAAGACUCAGCAACCCACUUUUGUCCUCAGUUUCCUUACGUGUAAAGUUACUGCCCAUUUUAGAGAUGAGGAAAUUGAGGCAGAUACGAUUAAAUGAUUGCCCAGGGCUACACAGCUGUUCUAGGUAUCACAUUAUAGAAAGGUUACUGACAAAUGGAAGUAUAUCCAGAAAAAAAACAAUGAGGAUGAUGAGGGGACUUGAAAACCUUCAACCUGGGGAACCACUGAAGGAAUGGGGGCUGUUUAGCCCAAAAAGAAAAAGACUUAAGGCUCAUAACUGCUUUCAAAUAUUUAAAGACUGUUCCAGGGUGAGGAAGUUAAAGUGGGCAGAGAAGGAUUUUUUCAGAGGGUGUCCCAAAAAUAUUAGUGCAAUCUUAAACUUAUUAAGCCCGGGCAGCUGAGUGGCUCAGUGGAUAGAGCACUACUUGGUAUCCAUUGAAAUCUAGCCGUGUGACCUUGAAAAAAGUCAUUUAGCCUCUGCCUGUUCCUCAGCUGUAAAAUGGAGAUAAUAACAAUUGUCGCUUUUCAGAUAACAAUAGAUGAAAGGCUAAAAUAAAAUAUUUGUGAGCCUUUAUAAAAUACUUGCUAUUAUUUUGCUUGAUCCCAGAGUCAAGGACUGAUGUUAACAAUGUUGUAGAUAGAGAAGCUAAGGAAGAAACAUCAGAGAGAAAUGCCACCUUGGAAGCUGGUAGAAGCAGGGAGCAGGAGAGGGGUGGUAGAGUUUAUGAUGAUGGAGAAGAAAUAAGGGUGUGGGAGGGAGUUUUCAACAUGGCAGUUUUCAUUCAAGUGAAAAUUACUGGCCAUGGGAACCAGAGAAGUCAAGGCUGGAGAUUUUGGAAAAUGUUCUAAGUGGACUCCUGGUUGGAGGACUAUGGUUACCCUCUGAGAAAUUCAUCACUUUUUGGAGGACUUGCUCUGAAACUCAACAAGUCUGUCCCACAACAGUUUCUCACCUGCCAAUCCCUAAUAAAAUUUUAUUAUCCAAAUUUCUUCUCAAAAACCUGUAAAACUUAAAUAUGUGGUAUGUAUAUAUACCUAUAUAC